rnacentral:piRNA from 1 species
UGAAAGAGAAGAAGGAAUCACAGGAGA